rnacentral:rRNA from 1 species
AUUGAACGCUGGCGGCAGGCCUAACACAUGCAAGUCGAGCGGUAGCACAGAGAGCUUGCUCUCGGGUGACGAGCGGCGGACGGGUGGGUCAUGUCUGGGAAACUGCCUGAUGGAGGGGGAUAACUACUGGAAACGGUAGCUAAUACCGCAUAAUGUCGCAAGACCAAAGUGGGGGACCUUCGGGCCUCAUGCCAUCAGAUUUGCCCAGGUGGGGUUAGCUAGUAGGCGGGUGAACGGCUCACCUAGGCGCCGAUCCCUAGCUGGUCUGAGAGGAUGCCCAGCCACACUGGAACGGAGCCACGGUCCAGACUCCUAGGGGAGGCAGCAGUGGGGAAUAUUGCACAAUGGGCGCAAGCCUGAUGCAGCCAUGCCGCGUGUGUGAAGAAGGCCUUCGGGUUGUAAAGCACUUUCAGCGGGGAGGAAGGCGAUAAGGUUAAUAACCUUGUCGAUUGAUGUUACCCGCAGAAGAAGCACCGGCUAACUCCGUGCCAGCCGCCGCGGUAA